AUUUGAUAACUAAUUUUUGUUCUGUUUUCAGCCCUGGGAAUAUGUCAUUGGACCAGAAAAUGUUCUGUCCUCAUGGAGCUUGCUGGCUGAGGGCUGGGAGCAUCAAGCUUCCAGGUCCCUGUUUCAUAAAGUGUCCCUGGGAUCGGCGUCAUCUGUAUGGCCUGGGAGCUGGAGAGAAAUACAGCAGCAUCUCAGCCACCUUGACCUGCUGAAUCACAGUCUGCAUUGUAACAAGACCCCCUGGGAUCCACAUGGCUGACAAGCUGGGCUUGAGUUUCCGUAGCAUUUAGAAAAAGCAAUUUCUACCUGCGCUUCCCUCCCUGGAAAAUUCACACCCUCUUGCUGGGGUUUAAAGCAGAGCUCCUUCUGUUUCUACCUCUCCUUCUCCUCCUCCUUCUUCUUCUUCAACAUAUAUAGAUUUUCCUCUUGGUCACAAAAGUUCAUUGCAUGCUUUUUGGAAAUCACAAACAUGCAAACACAUGCACGCGUAAACACGUCGUUGAGUGUGCACGCACGUGCACACACACACACACCCAUACACACACACACAAAGAAAAUCAAAAUCACCCAAAUUGCUCACCAUCCAGAGAUGACACCAUUAAUAUCUCCUCAUCUGCCAGACGUUUUUAUACACAUUUUUUUUUCAACAAAAUGUCAAGAAAAGGUAGAAUCACGUUGCCUGUUAGUUCUCGACAUGGAGCAUGCACCCACAGGAAGGCUGGCUCAAACACAGAUUGCUGAGCCUGACCCCCACAGGAUUUCAACCAGAAGCCCUGGGACCAUGCCUGGGGACUGGCAUGUCUAGCUAGUUCCAGGUGGUGUGGAGUCACUGGUCCGGGGACCACACUUUGGGAACCACUGGACUCUGGGCCUAAGCAUCAGUGGUUGGAAUCCAGCUCUACCACCUGCUACCUGGCCACAGGGUAGAUUCUGCAGCUAGAAGGACAGUACCCACCUCUUAAGAUCAUUCUGAGAACUACAUGAGCUAAUUAAAUUAGCAAGGCACAAAGGAAGCAUUAAUUACAAUAAAUAUGCCUAUAAUUUUAAAAUCUAGGUUUCUUAACAAUCGUUCAUAAGCAUUUUUGUCAUGUCUUUAUUCUUCUGUGUAUUUGUUUUUAAAGGCUCCUGGAUUGUCCCUCAUGUUGAUGCAUCGGUCUGGUCCCCAGUCUUUGACUACACAGCACUGUGAUGAGCAUUCCCGUGGAUAAAUCACCGCACCUGUCUGCCUAUUUCCUGAGGACAGAAUGUGCUAAAUGUGAAAUCGCUGAGAAAAAAAUCACAUGACUGUGUUUAAGGCUUUUGAUAAAUUUUGCUAAAUGGUCUUCCAGAAAAAUUAAACCCAUGCAAAAUGCUACCAGCCACCCACGAGAUAUCUUUUCUCUACAAUCUCAUUAAUGUCCCAUGUGACUGUUUCUUUUUUUUAAUCAUGUCAAUAUUUUGUUUGUUCAUUUGGAUUUCUUGGAUGACUACUGAAAUGGGGACCAUCCCUCCCUCAAAUAUCUUAGGGCUUUAAGUUUUUAAAAAUUA
rnacentral:lncRNA from 1 species